CGCGGGAGAAGGCAGCCGGGUGGCGAGCUGAGGUCAUCGAUGGAUGACGGAGGUGAGGCCAGGCUGCAGACUCUGCCAGAGGAACCUCAGCUGUGGCCUGAUCAAAAAUUCAUCAAGCUAAGUGGGAAGACACCCCCUGAGUCCAUUGAGCUACCAGGCACAAGGCCAAUUAAAACAGUUAGCACGGGCAAGUAAUGAGGCAAAAUAAUAAUGGAAAUAUUGACCACGCUGUGCUGUCGCCUAGGUCGGGCACAGCCCUCCCCUCAGAGCAUGGCUCUAUUUUCAGGCAGGAAGCUGAAAAAUUGCUUGAAAAAGCAUCAGCUGGCGAGAGGAAAUGCUGCUCUCCAAGCAACGUGCUGCUCGGCCUGUGGAAUGCAUCGACGCAGGAAUGCUUGAGGCCAGGAGCUUGGCAGGUAUUGAACGCACACCUAAAUAGACACCUGGCUGAAUAAGAGUAACUUUAAAAACCAGGAUAUAUUCUUCCUUUUCAGAGCUUAAAAAAAAAAUAAUAAAAUGACCGAAGAAUAGAUCUACCUGUGAGCAGAUUAUUACAGAGCUGUUGUUCUGGAAUUCAUCGCAUGCUCCCUCUGAAGCAUUUCAUCACCAUUAAGUAUGGGAGAGCGGAAUGAAGGAACCUGUGGUCUGCCACACUGCUUCUCCUUCUCCAUUUAAAUACAUGAAAGAGCUGGACCCAGAGAACCAAGGACUGUCAGCAGGAUUUUUAGGCACAAACACACAGAAGAACAAGGGAGAAAGAAAAUGAGAUCCAGAGAAGAGGCCCUUCGAACGACAAAGAGAAUCACCUCAACAUUCAGACUGCCUGCAAAACAACCGCAGCUCAUGUUCUAGAGAAAGCUGCCACAAAACACGAGCAGUGACCUUUAUUUUCAUAGUUCCUUCAGUCACGCUUGAAGUUUUUUAGUCUAAGAUUUGUACCAGAUUUAAAAAAUCCAAGGCUGUCUUUCAACACACUUACAGACUCCUGUGACUGGCAGCCAGGCUGUAACAGUAAUUCAUUAGGACCUGCCCAGGAAGUGCAAACUCAUCCAACAAUUACAGAACUUGGCAGUUUCCUCUUGAUCAAUUAGUAUGUCUUUAGUGCUUCUUACCCUUCAGUCGAGAGAGGCCUUUAUUAACUUUCUGUCAAGCCCCACUCAAACACAACAGCACAGCAAGAGGGUGAGGCAGAAGGCUCACACCCCAAAAUGAAAUGAGCUUGUUGUCUCCAAAGCACUUCUCUGCACCAGCACCCCAGCUCUGGAGCCAGUGUUUAAAGGACCAGCCUUUUGGGAGACUGAAAUGAUGACAAGUUUUCCUCCUCCCAUUUUUAAGCAGCAGGUAACGUCACUUCCAAAGCAGUGCAUCUGCCCACCGAGGCUGCAGCUGUGGGAUGUUUGGCUGUGCUUCUGUCCUCCAGCUUCAUUCAAUUACAGCCUCAGCAACCCAGCCCAACUUCCACCUCUGACUUUUUUAUGCUGUUAGUGACUGAAACACCUGUGAAAGGAAGCAGCCUGACAGGCCUGGAGCCUUAAAUAGUUUCCUGUGCCACGAGGCAGAGAGUGUGAGCAAGAUAAUGACAAGCUCCUCUGGCUGCAAACUUGGUGACACUGGAUGUGUAUUAUGGAGAGCAGAGUUCAGGGAUUGAGGAUGCUCAGCACAAUGGCCUGAUUUUCUGAUGGGCUGAGCAUUUGCCUGCAGAGUCUCCACUGAUCCACUUUGGGCACUUUCUUUUUCCUGCGAGUAACAUCUCGCAGGCGGCGGAUGAAAAGGAAGGUGUACUUGACACUGCAGUGAAAGAAACGCUGGGCUGCAGCAGCGCACGAAUUCAGAACAGAGGCUGGUCUGAAUAAGUCCAACGAGGAUCUGAAUCAUCUUUUGGGGGACCUCAACCAGUUUGCUAGCAGCGUGCCAAGAGAUUUCAUUGCACAGACUGAUGGAGAUUUAUUUGCAUACAGUGUCACACGUCGCAUCCUGACCAAGACAAGUAACAGGAGAGACAAACGCCCUCCCACUCUUUCAGAGUAAUAAUAGCAAUAUAACCUUUUCAGUACUGCCAUGUGCACCUUAGAGAAGACAUCUCUUAAAAGGACAGUGCAGAGAGAAGAACUCCUUGGGUAACAUACCUAAGAAAACCUGUACCCUCCCAUAAGCUUCCCAGGUCAGAGGCUGAGGAGUCCAAAAUGAGAGGAAGAGGAGCUGCUGAAGGAAGUGCAGCCACCACCCUCACAUCAUGCAGGCUGCACUGGACCAGGGAAGAGGGAGGAAGUGACAUUUUUUUUAUUUGCUUUAGGGAUUUGGGGCACAGAAAAGUGAUACUUUUUACUUUAACUGACAAGUGCUAGAUUAUAUUUAUGAAAAUAUGACAGCAUCCUGCUACGGUUGUACAGAGAUACUUUGGGUGAUCAUAGAACAAAGAAAGUUCUAUAAGUCAGAACAAAGAUGGUUAAAAGCAGUAUUUAAACACCACCUAAAAUGUUCCUAAACCUCCCUUAAUACACGCUGGGCAGGAACAUAGUCCCUAAAGGCUGCCAUUUUAAU